GAGCAUCAGGUGCCUGCUGGGCAGUGGGAUUGGAGGACUCAUUAACAUACGAUGUUGCUUCCGAACAUGUAAGGACCGCCAGCAGUAGUAACCAGUUCCAUAAACGAAAAGCCAUAAACAUUGCAGGACCCAUGCCUGUGCGACUCUGACUUCGCACCUGGGUCCUGAUGUAUGCCACGCCUCUGCGGCACGGGUUUCUGGAACUAAACCAUCCUACCAGGCAAGAACCUAGAAUGAGGCACUUCAGCAAGUUGACACUUCAAGGAGGCCAAAGUCCUGUACUGUCUGUGUCCCUUCAAUCCCAGAUUUUAGAGUCAAC
rnacentral:lncRNA from 1 species